GCCCAUGUGGCAUAGCGGUUUCAGUGUUAGACUAGGAUUCUAGAGACCAUGGUUCAAUUCCCUGGUCA